CAGCACCGCGGUAAUACGGAGGGUGCAAGCGUUACUCGGAAUUACUGGGCGUAAAGCGUGCGUAGGUGGUGGUUUAAGUCCGUUGUGAAAGCCCUGGGCUCAACCUGGGAAUUGCAGUGGAUACUGGGUCACUAGAGUGUGGUAGAGGAUAGUGGAAUUUCCGGUGUAGCAGUGAAAUGCGUAGAGAUCGGAAGGAACAUCUGUGGCGAAGGCGACUAUCUGGGCCAACACUGACACUGAGGCACGAAAGCGUGGGGAGCAAACAGGAUUAGAUACCCCUGUAGUCCCUGUCUCUUAUACA
rnacentral:rRNA from 1 species